rnacentral:rRNA from 1 species
AUACGUAGGGAGCAAGCGUUAUCCGGAUUUACUGGGUGUAAAGGGCGCGCAGGCGGGCUUGCAAGUUGGGAGUGAAAUCCCGGGGCUCAACCCCGGAACUGCUUUCAAAACUGUGAGUCUUGAGUGAUGGAGAGGCAGGCGGAAUUCCCAGUGUAGCGGUGAAAUGCGUAGAUAUUGGGAGGAACACCAGUGGCGAAGGCGGCCUGCUGGACAUUAACUGACGCUGAGGCGCGAAAGCGUGGGGAGC